AUUGAACGCUGGCGGCAUGCCUUACACAUGCAAGUCGAACGGCAGCACGGGAGCAAUCCUGGUGGCGAGUGGCGAACGGGUGAGUAAUAUAUCGGAACGUGCCCAGUAGUGGGGGAUAACUGCUCGAAAGAGCAGCUAAUACCGCAUACGACCUGAGGGUGAAAGGGGGGAUCGCAAGACCUCUCGCUAUUGGAACGGCCGAUAUCAGAUUAGCUCGUUUGUGGGGUAAAGGCCUACCAAGGCAACGAUCUGUAGUUGGUCUGAGAGGACGACCAGCCACACUGGGACUGAGACACGGCCCAGACUCCUACGGGAGGCAGCAGUGGGGAAUUUUGGACAAUGGGCGCAAGCCUGAUCCAGCAAUGCCGCGUGCAGGAAGAAGGCCUUCGGGUUGUAAACUGCUUUUGUCAGGGAAGAAAUCCUCUAGGUUAAUACCCUUGGGGGGAUGACGGUACCUGAAGAAUAAGCACCGGCUAACUACGUGCCAGCAGCCGCCGCAGUAA
rnacentral:rRNA from 1 species